CAGCAGCGCGGGAAUACAGAGGGUGCGAGCGUUAAUCGGAUUUACUGGGCGUAAAGCGUGCGUAGGCGGCUUCUUAAGUCGGAUGUGAAAUCCCUGAGCUUAACUUAGGAAUUGCAUUCGAUACUGGGAAGCUAGAGUAUGGGAGAGGAUGGUAGAAUUCCAGGUGUAGCGGUGAAAUGCGUAGAGAUCUGGAGGAAUACCGAUGGCGAAGGCAGCCAUCUGGCCUAAUACUGACGCUGAGGUACGAAAGCAUGGGGAGCAAACAGGAUUAGAUACCCCGGUAGUCCCUGUCUCUUAUACA
rnacentral:rRNA from 1 species